rnacentral:rRNA from 1 species
UACGAAGGGUGCUAGCGUUGUUCGGAAUCACUGGGCGUAAAGCGUGCGUAGGCGGCUUUUUAAGUCUGAUGUGAAAGCCCGGGGCUCAACCCCGGAUGUGCAUUGGAAACUGGAAGGCUGGAGUUCGAAAGGGGUAAGUGGAAUUCCUAGUGUAGAGGUGAAAUUCGUAGAUAUUAGGAGGAACACCAGUGGCGAAGGCGACUUACUGGUUCGAUACUGACGCUGAGGCACGAAAGCGUGGGGAGCAAACAGG